UCCAGAGGGUGCGGGCGUUAAUCGGUAUUACUGGGCGUAAAGCGUGCGUAGACGGUCAUGUAAGUCGGGUGUGAAAUCCCCGGGCUCAACCUGGGAAUUGCAUUCGAGACUGCGUGGCUAGGGUGCGGAAGAGGGAAGCGGAAUUUCCGGUGUAGCGGUGAAAUGCGUAGAUCUCGGAAGGAACAUCGGUGGCGAAAGCGGCUCACUGGUCCAGCACCGACGUUCAGGCACGAAAGCGUGGGGAGCAAACAGG
rnacentral:rRNA from 1 species